rnacentral:rRNA from 1 species
GAUGAACGCUGGCGGCGUGCUUAACACAUGCAAGUCGAACGAAGCACUUAAGAUUGUUUCUUCUGAUGACGUCUUUUGUGACUUAGUGGCGGACGGGUGAGUAACGCGUGGGUAACCUGCCUCACACAGGGGGUUAACCGUUAGAAAUGUCUGCUAAUACCCCAUAACCCGAUAGUAUCGCAUUAUCCAGACGGAAAAGAUUUAUCGGUGUUAGAUGGACUCGCGUCUGAUUAGCUACUUGGUGAGGUAACGGCCCACCAAGGCGAGGAAGAGUGGCCGGCAGGGGAGGGUGAACGGCCACAUUGGGAAUGAGACACGGACCAAAACGGUACGGGAGGGAGCAGUGGGGAAUAUUGCAGGAUGGGGGAAACCCUGAUGAAGCGGCGCGGCGUGAGAGAAGAAGUAGUUCGGAAUGUAAAGCUCUAUCAGAAGAGAAGAAAAUGACGGUAACGGAUAAAGAAGCCCCGGCUAACUACGUG